rnacentral:rRNA from 1 species
AUACGAAGGGGGCUAGCGUUGUUCGGAAUAACUGGGCGUAAAGCGCACGUAGGCGGAAUGUUAAGUUAGAGGUGAAAUCCCAGGGCUCAACCCUGGAACUGCCUUUAAUACUGGCAAUCUAGAGAUCGAGAGAGGUGAGUGGAAUUCCGAGUGUAGAGGUGAAAUUCGUAGAUAUUCGGAGGAACACCAGUGGCGAAGGCGGCUCACUGGCUCGAUACUGACGCUGAGGUGCGAAAGCGUGGGGAGCAAACAGGAUUAGAAACCCCAGUAGUCC